rnacentral:rRNA from 1 species
CGUGUAGGUGGCUCAUUAAGUCACAUGUGAAAUCCCCGGGCUUAACCUGGGAACUGCAUGUGAUACUGGUGGUGCUAGAAUAUGUGAGAGGGAAGUAGAAUUCCAGGUGUAGCGGUGAAAUGCGUAGAGAUCUGGAGGAAUACCGAUGGCGAAGGCAGCUUCCUGGCAUAAUAUUGACAACUGAGAUUCGAAAAGCGUGGGUAGCAAACA